AGAAGAGAGGGACCCCAUAUCAGAAGGAAGUGUGAUCCAGAAGGAUGGAGCUCAUCAGAGACAGCCUUCUCUGAGAAUCAAGAAAGAUUCAGAACAGGUGAACUGAAUAGAUUGUGGCUUUUGGAAACUGAGUAACACAGUAGCAAAUUGCAUAGCUUUUUAAACACUGCAACCUGACUUAAGAGAGAAUCCCCCUGUACAGCUAAGGGUCUCACUCGUGCCACCCAGACUGUAGUGCAGUGGUGAUCAUGGCUCACUGCAGCCUUGGCUUCCUGGGCUCAGGUGAUCUUCCUACCUCAGCCUCGCAAGUAGCUGGGACUAAAGCAAUGAAUGAAGGUUCCUGUUGCUCCACAUUCUCACCAGCACUUGGUUUCAUCAGUGUUCUGACUUUGGCCAUUCUAACAGGUUUGAACUGCAUGGGCUGCUUCUAUGUGAAUUUUCUUCCACUUCUGCCACCCCUGGAACAGCAAGACCAACCCAUCCUUUUCCUCCUCUUCCUCAGCAUACUCAAGAUGAAAACAACAAAGGAUGAAGACCUUUAUGAUUAUCUACUUCCACUUAAUAAAUAGUACUGUAUUGUUCAUUUGACUGUAAAUGGGCAAUCAUUACACAGGCAGCAGGGACCAGCAUCCUUUAUAAAGAGGCAGUUGUAGCUCAAGAGUUGCAUCUUGGUAGCACCAAUACAGAAUUUAAGGAUUACAGAAGUAAAAAGUUCCCUAUACUUGGAAACAAAAUAAAGAACUACUGUAACAAUUUGCACUUCAUUUUCUUAGCAUGGAGUAGAGCAUUAAUCAUUAUCAUUUUUUCAUGCCACUAAAUCUUUGGAAUGAGAAUUCUUUAAUAGUACUGAUCUACAUCCACUAAAUAAACAUUACAGGCCUAUAAUGUGCCACGCACUGCGCUAGACACUGGGGAUAACACUUUGAAUAAAACAGAAAUGGAACUCCCAUCAUGGAGCUCAGAAAUAACAUUGAAAUUCUCCUGGAUUUUGAGCCAGCAAUAACAGCAGGAAGAAAACGGAGCUCAAAACACUCUGAAUUUAUUUCCGCCAUUUAAAAAAAUGAAUGAAGAAGGUAUUUCAAACCCAGAAAAGAUAUUUUCUCAUCAUGAUAGCAGAUGUUAAAGAUAUCGGAAACAGUGCAAUUUCUCCUAGUGCAGAAAGAGGAGGAAGUUAGUAGACACACAACUGAAAUAAAGGAAGCAGAAGGAAGAACACAGGCAGUGCUCAUCUUGCAGGAGGCUUGCACACCCUAAGUCUAUUUAUAAAUCAGUUAUUCAAAACUAACAAGUAGUGUCGCACAUCAUGUUUAUAUUUUGAAGUAGCCCCAACAGGUUUGUAAACACACAAUGUAAUUGAAACAUUAGCAUCAAAAAAGAGUAGUUGCCAAUAUAAAUGGUAUUUUAGUGACCAGUGUUUCCUUGGCUCCAGAAGCUCCUGGAAGAUUGUCUCAGCUAUACCUCAUGGAUCCAAAAGCCUAAUUUUACCUAUAAAUAAUCAAUGGAUAUUUUAUCUAUCUUCAAUUUCCAAUGAGGAGAAAUCAGUAAAGACAAGACAACACUGGCAGCCUUAAAGAAAAAAGCAGUAAAAAUAAGACUAUUUCAUUAUCAUUUUUUAAAAGAGAUGGGUUCUCACUGUGUUGACCAGGCUAGAGUGCAGUAGCUAUUCACAGGCACAAUCAUUGUGCACUACAGCCCCAAACUUUGAGGAUCAGACAAUCUUCCUGCCUCAGACUUCCGAGUAGCUGGGACUACAGUCAUUGCCAUUUUAGAAACCAUUUUCAUUCACUCCAACUUUCCACAAAUAUUUAUUGAGUGCCCACCAUGUGCUAGCCACUGUUUGGUAUGCUGACGCUACAUGUCAGUGACCCAAACAAUGUUCCUCAUUUCAUAGUACUCACAUCUACUGGGGAAAGCAGACAAUAAAAAUGUCUUAAGAAAAGCAGAAACAUUUUGCCAAGGGUUGAUAAACUAUGCAAUUCCCACCAAAAUACCACCAUCAUUCUUCAUAGAAUUGGAAAAACAAUUCUAAAAUUCAUAUGAAAACAAAAAAGAACCCACAUAGCCAAAGCGAAACUAAGCACAAAGAACAAAUUGGGUGGAAUCACCUUACCUGGCUUUAUACUAGAAGGCCAUAGUCACCAAAACAGCAUGGUACUGGUAUAAAAAUAGGUACAUAGACCAAUGGAACAGGACAGAGAACCAAGAAAGAAACCCAUAAAAUUACAGCCAACUGAUCUUUGACAAAGCAAACAAAAACAUAAAUUAAUGGGGAAAGGACACCCUAUUCAACAAAUGGUGCUGGG